UCUGCUUCAUACUAGUAAACUUUCCUUAUUUCUUGGUGGGGGGAUUUCAAUGUUUCAAAAGCAUAGAUGAACAGCUUGCCAUUAUUGAAAGGCAUGGUGCUUUCUAGGUUGUUGUACCAUGUUACCUGUGUCUCAGAAUACUU